GCUGCCUAUCAUUUGCUUUUUCUCAUGAGCUCCUGGACCACCUCAUAUCACCAGCACCCUCUACCCAAGGUCCUGGAGCCAACACUGGAGUAAAAGAGCACAAGAGAACUCCUUAGAGGUGGAAGGAUACCCUCUGAGGUCAAAUCAUUGGGCUUGUGGCCAUGAGACCACAGACUUUGCCUAGCUUCCAGUGACUGUCCGAGAUGACCUGUGGAGUGCACCGCCUGUACUUGGACAUCACUGUCUUUUCCGAUCCAUACCCGUCAUCCUUGGAAUUUCCCCUGCAUCCAAACCUGUUCCUGAUACAGGUAUAACCCUAAGGAAUAUCUUGGAUGUCUUCACGGGGCUUAUGACUUAUUCUGAGGUUUACAAAAUAGAGGCCCCCAGCUGAGCAAAGAGAGGGCUGCAGCGCCGAGGGAACAGCUGCCGGACUCACCGGAGAGGCCUCCUGGAGCACGCCGGGACCCCCUCCACCCCCUGGCUUUGGCUGCAUCCAUGGCUAGUUUGCCUGAACUAUAUCUGAGCCACUGAGAGUAUUUAUUAAGCAGAGAAUAAUUUUGAGUUUCACUUUUAUAACUUUUGUUUCAAAAGUUGUUUUGGAUAAUUUAAUGAAAUGACUGUAAACCAGAAUUCCCCUUUUCAUUAUUUCUUUGUGUCGAUAUAAAAAGAGUUGAUGAUUUUAAAAGCCAGUGAGAUGUCCCUGUCUGUGGAUGUCAGCGGGAGCGUGGGGUCUGAAGCCUUUCUCUGGUGGCUGUCCAGGAAGAUUGCCCCAGCUUGCACUCCCUUUUGGCGGGUUCCAGAGCCUUCCAUUUGAAAGGAGCAUCUCUCCCCACUCUGCCCCACCCAGCACCAGCUCUUCUGGAACCCACUGACUUCCUAAACACUUUCUUCCUCCUUCACCUCAUUGAAUUCAAGACUUUAGAAAACAGCCAAAAACUCUAGAGGUGGGGGUGGGUGUGAUCUGGAAAUCCCUGCUGUAAUCUUUUUAAGGGAAUCCACUGGAAAUUAUUAAUUUAUGUUUUAAAUAAAACCAUUCCUUACUUCACAGAA
rnacentral:lncRNA from 1 species